AUUGAACGCUGGCGGCAUGCUUUACACAUGCAAGUCGAACGGCAGCGCGGGCUUCGGCCUGGCGGCGAGUGGCGAACGGGUGAGUAAUACAUCGGAACGUGCCCAGUAGUGGGGGAUAGCUCGGCGAAAGCCGGAUUAAUACCGCAUACGACCUGAGGGUGAAAGCGGGGGAUCUUCGGACCUCGCGCUAUUGGAGCGGCCGAUGGCAGAUUAGCUAGUUGGUGGGGUAAAGGCCUACCAAGGCGACGAUCUGUAGCUGGUCUGAGAGGACGACCAGCCACACUGGGACUGAGACACGGCCCAGACUCCUACGGGAGGCAGCAGUGGGGAAUUUUGGACAAUGGGCGAAAGCCUGAUCCAGCAAUGCCGCGUGGGUGAUGAAGGCCUUCGGGUUGUAAAGCACUUUUGGCGGGAACGAAAAGGACUGUGCCAAUACCACGGUUCGAUGACGGUACCCGCAGAAUAAGCACCGGCUAACUACGU
rnacentral:rRNA from 1 species